rnacentral:lncRNA from 1 species
AUCCUCUAAUGACCUCAACCAAAUACAAGGUUAGUUCUUUCAAUUUAGUUGGAGCCAUUCGAUAAGGAGCCUUAAAGAUAAAGAGAGAGUGGACAGAGAGUAAGGGUACGAGAAAGGACUCGAAGCCAUCUGCUAGGGAAGAGGGAGAGGGAGAGAGAGAAAGAGAUAGGGAGAAGAAGAGAGAGAGGAAGAAUAGAGGAUAGGAGAGAUGGAGGGCCAUGAUUCUUAGCCUUAGGUGGAGUCAAACCUUUUGCAAUAAAGAGGGAGAGGAAGAGAGGGUUAGAAAGUGAGACAAAGGGAUAGAAAAGGAGGGGAGGAGAG